GCCUAAUACAUGCAAGUCGAGCGAACAGACGAGGAGCUUGCUCCUCUGACGUUAGCGGCGGACGGGUGAGUAACACGUGGAUAACCUACCUAUAAGACUGGGAUAACUUCGGGAAACCGGAGCUAAUACCGGAUAAUAUAUUGAACCGCAUGGUUCAAUAGUGAAAGACGGUUUUGCUGUCACUUAUAGAUGGAUCCGCGCCGCAUUAGCUAGUUGGUAAGGUAACGGCUUACCAAGGCAACGAUGCGUAGCCGACCUGAGAGGGUGAUCGGCCACACUGGAACUGAGACACGGUCCAGACUCCUACGGGAGGCAGCAGUAGGGAAUCUUCCGCAAUGGGCGAAAGCCUGACGGAGCAACGCCGCGUGAGUGAUGAAGGUCUUCGGAUCGUAAAACUCUGUUAUUAGGGAAGAACAAAUGUGUAAGUAACUAUGCACGUCUUGACGGUACCUAAUCAGAAAGCCACGGCUAACUACGUGCCAGCAGCCGCGGUAAUACGUAGGUGGCAAGCGUUAUCCGGAAUUAUUGGGCGUAAAGCGCGCGUAGGCGGUUUUUUAAGUCUGAUGUGAAAGCCCACGGCUCAACCGUGGAGGGUCAUUGGAAACUGGAAAACUUGAGUGCAGAAGAGGAAAGUGGAAUUCCAUGUGUAGCGGUGAAAUGCGCAGAGAUAUGGAGGAACACCAGUGGCGAAGGCGACUUUCUGGUCUGUAACUGACGCUGAUGUGCGAAAGCGUGGGGAUCAAACAGGAUUAGAUACCCUGGUAGUCCACGCCGUA
rnacentral:rRNA from 1 species